UACGUAGGGUGCAAGCGUUAAUCGGAAUUACUGGGCGUAAAGCGUGCGCAGGCGGCUUUGCAAGACAGAUGUGAAAUCCCCGGGCUUAACCUGGGAACUGCAUUUGGGACUGCAAGGCUUGAGUACGGCAGAGGGGGGUAGAAUUCCUGGUGUAGCAGUGAAAUGGGUAGAUAUCAGGAGGAAUACCGAUGGCGAAGGCAGCCCCCUGGGUCGAUACUGACGCUCAUGCACGAAAGCGUGGGGAGCAAACAGG
rnacentral:rRNA from 1 species